rnacentral:tRNA from 1 species
CAUUAGAUGACUGAAAGUAAGUAAUGGUCUCUUAAACCAAUUUAUAGUAACUGACAAUUACUUCUAAUGA